UGAACGCUGGCGGCAGGCCUAACACAUGCAAGUCGAGCGGUAGAGAGAAGCUUGCUUCUCUUGAGAGCGGCGGACGGGUGAGUAAUGCCUAGGAAUCUGCCUGGUAGUGGGGGAUAACGUUCGGAAACGGACGCUAAUACCGCAUACGUCCUACGGGAGAAAGCAGGGGACCUUCGGGCCUUGCGCUAUCAGAUGAGCCUAGGUCGGAUUAGCUAGUUGGUGAGGUAAUGGCUCACCAAGGCGACGAUCCGUAACUGGUCUGAGAGGAUGAUCAGUCACACUGGAACUGAGACACGGUCCAGACUCCUACGGGAGGCAGCAGUGGGGAAUAUUGGACAAUGGGCGAAAGCCUGAUCCAGCCAUGCCGCGUGUGUGAAGAAGGUCUUCGGAUUGUAAAGCACUUUAAGUUGGGAGGAAGGGUUGUAGAUUAAUACUCUGCAAUUUGACGAACCGACAGAAUAAGC
rnacentral:rRNA from 1 species